GACGAACGCUGGCGGCGUGCUUAACACAUGCAAGUCGAACGGAAAGGCCCUGCUUUUGUGGGGUGCUCGAGUGGCGAACGGGUGAGUAACACGUGAGUAACCUGCCCUUGACUUUGGGAUAACUUCAGGAAACUGGGGCUAAUACCGGAUAGGAGCUCCUGCUGCAUGGUGGGGGUUGGAAAGUUUCGGCGGUUGGGGAUGGACUCGCGGCUUAUCAGCUUGUUGGUGGGGUAGUGGCUUACCAAGGCUUUGACGGGUAGCCGGCCUGAGAGGGUGACCGGCCACAUUGGGACUGAGAUACGGCACAGACUCCUACGGGAGGCAGCAGUGGGGAAUAUUGCACCAUGGGCGGAAGCCUGAUGCAGCAACGCCGCGUGCGGGAUGACGGCCUUCGGGUUGUAAACCGCUUUCGCCUGUGACGAAGCGUGAGUGACGGUAAUGGGUAAAGAAGCACCGGCUAACUACGUG
rnacentral:rRNA from 1 species